UACGGAGGGUGCAAGUGUUGUUCGGAAUCACUGGGCGUAAAGGGCGUGUAGGCGGUCCGCUAAGUCUGAUGUGAAAGCCCGGGGCUCACCCCCGGAAGGGCGUUGGAAACUGGCGGACUCGAGUCUCGGAGAGGAAGGUGGAAUUCCUGGUGUAGCGGUGAAAUGCGUAGAUAUCAGGAGGAAUACCGGUGGCGAAGGCGGCCUUCUGGACGAUGACUGACGCUGAGACGCGAAAGCGUGGGGAGCAAACAGG
rnacentral:rRNA from 1 species